UUACAGCCAUAUCACAUUGAAACACAAGUUCUCAUAUGACCACCAAAGUUAAGCAACAUCAAGCCUGGCCAGUACAUAGAUGGGUGAUGCUUGGGAAUACUCAGUGCUGUAAG